rnacentral:rRNA from 1 species
UACGUAGGGUGCGAGCGUUGUCCGGAAUUAUUGGGCGUAAAGGGCUCGUAGGCGGUUUGUCGCGUCGGGAGUGAAAACCCAGGGCUUAACUCUGGGCUUGCUUUCGAUACGGGCAGACUAGAGGUAUGCAGGGGAGAACGGAAUUCCUGGUGUAGCGGUGAAAUGCGCAGAUAUCAGGAGGAACACCGGUGGCGAAGGCGGUUCUCUGGGCAUUACCUGACGCUGAGGAGCGAAAGUGUGGGAGCGAACAGG